rnacentral:rRNA from 1 species
UACGUAGGGGGCGAGCGUUGUCCGGAAUCAUUGGGCGUAAAGCGCGUGUAGGCGGCCCGGCAAGUCCGCUGUGAAAGUCCAGGGCUCAACCCUGGGAUGCCGGUGGAUACUGUCGGGCUCGAGUCCGGAAGAGGCGAGUGGAAUUCCUGGUGUAGCGGUGAAAUGCGCAGAUAUCAGGAGGAACACCAAUUGCGAAGGCAGCUCGCUGGGACGUUACUGACGCUGAGACGCGAAAGCGUGGGGAGCAAACAGG